rnacentral:lncRNA from 1 species
AGCUUGAAAGGGGCUUUGAGAUGCUGGGAUGAAAGGCGCUGGGUUGAGUACAAAGCACAGGGCAAGCUGUCCUGGGAGUGGGAGGCCUGGCCCGGGGCCUUCCCCGGCCCCCAUGCUGAGUCACUUCCUCCCUCCUGGCUGGAUUUUGCCUCUGUAACCCAGAGACACUGAACCCUCCUUUCAGGACGGCGUCUUGGGGGAUGUUCCCAGAGAGCGUGUGCAGGAUGCAGGCCUGGCAUCAACCUCGACUCACCACCAAAGGGCCCCAAGCCGGGAGGGGAGGGAGGUGUGUUGGCCUUGAUGCUGUGGGGCAGAUGCUACCACGCAUUUAUAGCUUCAUGACUCUCCUCUUAACUUGUCUGGGAGAGCGACGACUCAGGGAUGAGCAUCCCUCUGUUACACUUGAAGAAACUGAGGACCAAAGAGGUGGGAGGUUUCCCAAGGUCUCACAGCCCACCCGAGGAGAGAGCAGAUCCGAAGCCUCUGGCUCCCCACAUCCUUCCCCCAGAGGGCAGCCAGCCCCCCAUUACUCAUUCCUUUAAACAUGAGGCUCUCAUAGGAGCUUCACAGGACUGCACUGCACUUUGUAUUACCAGGGCUCUGAGGGAAGCACCAAUACUAGCUUUGCCUUCAAGGAAUUGCUCGACUAGUGUCUCUUUACUGGUCAUAAAGUAAAGGGUGAAGGAAAAAAAAAACAGUUGAACAAGGGAGUGAAGUCUUCUGGAAGGUCAGCGUGGAGAGGUGACAGCUGCCAAGGAAAGAUUCCCACGAUGGCCUCUGCCAAUGGAUUAGAACCGAGAAGUCAUCCAAGCAAGGCUGCUCCUGCUGGUCUUCAGGUGCCCUCCUUGAGACCGAGCUCCCCAGACCGGGCUGCUGGGGUUCCCUGCACCUGGUGGACCUCAAUUUCUCCCUCCUGAGGGACAGGGGUUCCCAUUCGGUGUGCCUACCAGUAGGUAGCAGUUCACAAGGCCCACUCUGAGCCAGUCCUGUGCUCAGAGAAACAAGGCAGGGUUCCCACCCUCACAGUAAAGCCGCCCAGUCUGACGGGGACGUGAUCCCAGACAGAAGGAAGGACGUCCAGGCCACGUGCUGUGGGGGCCACAGAAGGAAGGACCCACCAACUGAAGGCCCAGGAGGUUACAUGCUUGUGCUUUGGAACCGAGACCUCCCCCUUUCCGCUGUUUAAGCAUCUGCCCCCAAUUCAAGGCCGCUCCGUAAACUAACUAGACCUAGAUGGACCCAAAUCAAGCUCUAAGCAGGUUCUUCCCCUGGGAGCUUUCUCAUCCCUGGAAACCCAAAAAGGGUAAUAGCACGAGUCACCCUUGGGAGCAAGUUCUCAGACAUGAAGUCUCUGAGCAGCCCUGGCCCAGAGGGUGCACUCAGGAUGGGGCACUGUUACUUCACUUCUGGGACUUUCAAAUCCACGCUUGUUAGAAAGCAGUGGGAAGCGUUUGUGUGAACCGUGAAGAACCCUUCUAAAGCAAAGGCGGUUAAAGCCGCAGGUGUGGCUGGGGAAGGCCUUUACGAGAGGCUUACUGCGCUCAGCUGUGGCGGCGGCUUGGGUGGAGCCUGGCCUGAGGCGGGGGCUCCCUGUCCAGACCUCUCAGGUUUCCGCUCAGCGUGGGCAGCUCUGGAGGCUGCGGGGAGGGUACAGAACGGAGGAGGAGCGUGAGGAGCCUGUCCCUAUUUUCCUGGGCACGGGGCUCACUCCUGGCACUAGUCCUUCCUGGGGCCCCAGCUCCAGCUUGUUAGUUUUAACUGGAACAAUUUCCUUUGAACUCAGCUUGAAUUAGCAUCACCAUGGCGAUGGAUCAGAGUUUUCACAAGUCGACCUGGUCUUCACCCCUCAAGCAAUUAGUUCGGAGGAGAAAAGUAGGAGGAGGAGGAGGAAGAAGAGGUAGCCUGGGAGGAAAGGUCCACUGUUCACACUUUCUCAGGGGAGACCCAGCAGCCCAACGCCACAAGGUCACUCCCAGGCAGCAAGCUCACCUUCAGCCCCUCCCUCCUGCAGGGACCAGGCUGUGGUAACAAUGGAGAAAGGGGAAGAGCAAACCAGAAUCUUCCAGAAUUUAAUGGAGUUGAGGAUCACUCUUUCUCCAAGACUCUGUCCGUCCCCACCUCCUCCAGGAGGCCCUUGGAUCACCUGCCACCUCUCCAGGCUCCUCACCCCCCGGGACCCUGCCAUCAUCUGUCACCAGCUUCACCCUCAGACCAACCAACAGGAAGCAAUCCUAGAUGGAGACAGGUGAUGAUACGAAAGGCUUGUCCUUGAGGAAACACAUUUAUAUGGAGCAGCCACGGCGUCGCCUUUGUCUAGAGCACCCUGGAGGAGUGUGGGCACAAUAGGCCGGAGGCGAAAGUGCCUUAAUCAGUUAUCCUCUCCCAGGAGCCCCCUUCCACCCUUUGGAGGGUGACCAGGCCAAUGCCCAGGGUCUCACUGUUGCUGGAGAACAGCUCAUGCGACUUUAGGGCCAAAGAGGUAGGCAGGGACUGAGAGAGACUCCUGAGAGCUACCCACCCCUUUCCCGAGCCCAGCCGGCAAGAUGAAUGCCUUGCCGAGGUUUCACUUUCAACUUUCUCCCCUUGGAGGGAGGUUUUAUCUCGGCCAUCACCACCCAGGAAGGCCUGGAAGCACAGCGGGGUGCUCCAGGGCAUCUGCAGCAUUUCAGCCUGCUGCACGCUUGUGCUGAGCUCCGGCUAAGGCCCCACCGUCCCAGCUGGAGACAUCUGAAGACUCCCAGCCCUGGGGUUGAAAGCUCCAGGACUGCGCGGAGGGGCUGCACAGUCCGCAGAGCCCUGGUGCCCGGCCGGGAGGAGGGAUCUUUGGGUUCUGGUCUUGACUUCCUGGGACCCCUGUGGAGCAGGGGAUCCUGUUGGAGCCAGAUCGAGUCAGAUGGCUCAGGCUCCUCGGGGAAGGGGCAGAGCAGCAGGAGGGACCCCACCCAGACAGACAGAGCAGUGGGGUUGGCACAAGCUCUGGACUCUGACAUGUGGCAUUUCAGCCCCGACUCUGCCACUGACCAGCUCUGCUACCUUGGGCUAGUCAGUUCUGCGCCACAGUUUCUCAUCUCUAAGACGGAGACAGUUAUCAGCACUCUGCCCUCUUCAGAGCGAUGCCGCGGGGAUCGAUGAGACGAGAGAAUAAAGGAGUUUGAGCUGCACACAUGAGGCAGAUGAGGCCAUUCCCUCUUCCCUGCAGCCCAGGAUGUGACAGCAGGAGGGACUAGAAAGGCCCUGCACUCAGGAGUAAUUCGGAGGCUCCUGUUUCUCCACAAGGGUCCGGGGUCUGAGUCCCAGCUCCCCUGCUCACGAGCUAGGGAACCUUGACCCAGACAUCUCAGCUCUCUGGGUCUUUGUUGCCUCUUAAUCUUUAAACUGGGAGAGGAAGAGCUGGGACUAAAUGAUUGCCAACCUCUGCAUUUGGUCCCUGGUCCCUCCAACGCAGAUUCCAAGGUCUGAAUUCCCCCUGCUAUCCUCUCUUACUCUCAGCCAAAGGGCGACUGGGGUAGAGGGCACGGGGCUCCUGGUGAACGCGCCCGCUGGCAGGCAGCUGAGAACGGCUGCAGAUGGGGACAGAGGACAGGACUCACCAAGUGCCAGGGAUGGCAAAGGACCCAAAAUGAGCCUACAACCACUCCUUAUAUCACAUGGGCAAGAGAUGGGGCCUUGGAGAUGCCAAAGGGGGAGGCUCCUUUGUUCUGCGGCUCCUUGUGCUAUCUGUCUGUCCUUUCAUUCCAUCUUCCAUUUUCAUUCACUCGCCUGUGCCUGCUGUAAACAUUGAUAAAGCCGUUACAGCACGUCAGGCACCGUCCUGGGUGUUGGGAAUACAGAAUUGAGUAAGUUCACAGCCUCAUGGGGGCCAACGAGAGAUAUAAACAGACGGUUCCUACCCAGAUUGAGCAGUGCUGGGAGAGCAGCCUGCGCUGGGGGCCGCCGGGCACGGAGGAGGGCCUGCGCCCAGCCGCGUGGGACAGCUCCUUCCUCAGACCUCUCACUCAGCUUGCGGAGACGAUGGGAAAAUACAGACGUUGCUUGGUGCCCAACAGCUUAGAGGGUGGUAAAGAAAAAAAAUGCCCGAGAGAAAGGUUACGGGGUAGGAUAAUUAAUGUUUUGCUAAGGAGGAAAAUAUUACUGUGUGUUGCUCAGCAUGCAAACACCUCAACUAACAAAAUGGCUGGGAGAAAACAAGUGGAACUGCAGGAUUUUUCUCACAAAGAUUAAAAGAAAAGAAAAAGACAGCAGUCACAGACAUACCUCCUCCCGUGGCUGAAAGAAUGUUCCCCGCCAGGUGAGGAAAGCAAGGCCCAGCGCUGGGAAGGGCCCAGCUGCCGCUCCUUCCUGGACGAAGGCCGGCCCAGCACACAAACCCCGCACCCCAGCCCCUGGCCCACUGCCAUUUCAUGUUAAGGCUCUCCUCUCAGUGUCUGAGGCCCGGGGAGCUGCUGUACACACUGCUUGACCAUUGUAAGGAAGAAGAGAUUUCUAAUUCCAGAGGGUGCAUCCAGC